AACGAACGCUGGCGGCAGGCCUAACACAUGCAAGUCGAACGCCCAGUCAUGGGAGUGGCGCACGGGUGCGUAACGCGUGGGAAUAUGCCCUUCACUACGGAACAACGUUUGGAAACGAACGCUAAUACCGUAUAAUGACCCCGGUCCAAAGAUUUAUCGGUGAAGGAUUAGCCCGCGUUAGAUUAGCUAGUUGGUGAGGUAAUGGCUCACCAAGGCAACGAUCUAUAGGGGGUCUGAGAGGAUGAUCCCCCACACUGGAACUGAGACACGGUCCAGACUCCUACGGGGGGCAGCAGUGAGGAAUAUUGGACAAUGGGCGCAAGCCUGAUCCAGCCAUGCCGCGUGAGUGAUGAAGGCCUUCGGGUUGUAAAGCUCUUUUAACGGUGAAGAUAAUGACGGUAGCCAUAGAAAAAGCCCCGGCUAAAUUCGUGCCAGCAGCCGCGGUAA
rnacentral:rRNA from 1 species